rnacentral:lncRNA from 1 species
GCAUCUGAUGCUUAAGAUGUUGAAAAAAAGAAUAGAUAGUCUUGAAGAAGAUAAUGGGGAGUGGUCAAUCUGAUGGAAAAAGAGAAACACUAGGGAGCAAGUCUAAGGUAAAGUUAUGGUCAUUGGAGUUGGGCUGAUGGAAAUAUGGAUUAAAAAUAAACUAUAUCUCCAUGCAGAGAAGUGGAAAGUGCCCUGGACUUAGAACCCAUCACUACUUACAGGGCUGCACUUAGCCUGAAAGCUCUAGGGAAGGAUCCAUCCCUUGCCUCUUCCAGGUAAAUUGGCUUGCGGCCCCCUCCCUCCAAUCUCUGGCUCUCAGUUCACAUUUCCUUUCCCCCGGUAUGUUUCCUUUCCUCUUCUUUCUGCUUGGUCUCCCUUUGCUUCUAUUCUAUAAGGAAAACUUUUGAUAACAUUAGGGUCCACUUGAUAAUUCAGGUUAAUUUCCUCAUUUCUUAGCUUAAUCACAUCUGCAUAAACUCUUUGCAAACAUAUGGUGACUUUUAUAGGUUCUAGAGAUUAGGACAUGGGUAUUUUUGUGGAGGACUGAUUCAGCCUGUCACACACACACACACAGACACACACACACACAAAGUUUUGAAUUUAAGAGGAUCAGAGCUUUUCAGACUAUUUUCCUCAGACAUCUUGCAAGGAUUGCCUUGGAAGUUAAUAGAAACAAGUGGGAAUCUGCUUUCCAUAGCUACUGCUCCAGUAUCCCUUUUGUGAUAAUUUAAUAGGUCACCUCGACUUGCUGUGGGGUGUCCAAAUUAAAUAUUAUUUCUGGGAUUUCCCAUUGUGGCUCAGUGGCUUAAGAACCCGACAUAGUGCCCAUGAUGAUGCAGGUUCAAUUCCUGCCCUCGCUCAGGGGGUUAGUGGUACGGCUUUGCCAAAAGCUGCAGUCUAGGUUGCAGAUGUGGCUCGCAUCUCUUGUUGCUGUGGCUGUGGUGUAAGUUGGCAGUUGCAGCUCUGAUUUGAUCCCUAGCCUGGGAACUUCCAUGUUCCACAGAUGUGGCCCUUAAAAGAAAAGAAAAUUAUUUCUGCAUGUGUCUGUGAGCAUGUUUCUAGAUGGCAUUACCGUUUGAGUCAGUGAACUCAAGCAAAUGACCCUCCCCAGUGUGUUUGGCCGUUAUCCAAUCUAUAGGAGUCUGAACAGAGCAAAAGAAAAAGGACAGAGGAAUUAGCCCCUUUCUUCCUGCCUUACUCUGUGACCUGCAAUGUUUCAUCCUUUCUUUUUUCCUUAGGCUGAAAUCCUUGGUUCCUCUAUAUCUGAGACUUUGACUGAAUCAUACUAGCGGUUUUCCUGGCUCUUCAGACAAUAGACUCUGACACUUCCAACCUUCACAAUUAUAUAAUUUCAUAAGUUAAUUCCUCAUAAUAUUAUCCCUAUCUAUCUAUCUGAAUUUGUAUUCCUCCUCUUAGUUUAAGAAUUUGCUUACCCAGGUAUCAAAACCUUUUGAGACUCAGAGAGUUCACCGAAGAUUCUAUACUUUCAUGAGCAUCAGUGCUAAGAUUUGGACACCCAGUUUUCUGAUUCUCAAGACUCCACACACUUUCCACCAAAGUGAAGGUUGCUAUGGAAUUCACACAAGGAUGUGUUAAACUGAGCAGUUUCAGUGAUACGCUUUUAUGGAAAGUAAAGCCCCUCUCUGGGGAAGAAACUCACUGAUUUUAAAUGCUUGCGAAACAGAGGACCCCUCAUGGUUAUUGAUCAUAACAAGGUCCCAAGAACAGAGUUCAAAGUCCAGUCAAAUUCCAUAUUGGAAACUUCACUGGAAGCAAUAGCUCUGUCAUCAGUAAAAGAAAUUUUUUUAUCACGUUGCUAUUUUUUUUUUCCCCUACUCAAUAUAGUGUUUUUCUCAUUUGCUCUUUAGGCCUUUUCAACAUUAUUUGCUUCCAGGGCAGAUUUUCCCUAAGGGGAGUGAGGAUAAUAAGUACUCUUGUGGCCACAAUGUUUUAAAAAUAGAGAAACCUUUGCUUUGUGGUUUUGAUAACCACAUUUGCUACCUGUGCUUUGGGUUAUUCCGACAUGUGGAGAAAGGAGAUGGUGUUUAACAAGAGGUAGCUAAAAAUGACACUGCUUUACUUGUUCUCCAACAAGUCAUGAUGGGAAAGGAGAGGAAGGGAGGAACAACCAUAGAAAAGCCAAAGAACAUUCUUCUGGAGGAAAAAAAGUACAUGCUCCACGAUGUUUCAUGUUAACAUCCACUCAGCAGACAUGAGUGCUUUGCAGAGUUCCUGCCACACCAGUUUCUGGAAGAUUUUGACAGUUUCACUGGCCAAAGAAAAAUUGCUUUCCUCUAGGAGCCUUUCUAAAAGGAGCUCUUCAAAAUGAACCUGUUUACCACCGCUCUGUUAACCAGUCAUUGAGUGCCAGAUAUCUCCAAAUGCUGAUGGGUCAGAAAAUUCUAGCCUGAGAGAGAAACAUCACUCAGACUCCAUGGAGAGGAUUGGCAGCAGAUGUUCAUCAGGGACAGUCUACUUACACUUUAUUGAGUAAAUUACAGGAAAGCUCAGGACUUCCCUGGCAGGGAAGCAAGGGCACAGUGGUCCUCCUAGAUGUGCCCUCAGUUUAAGAUCUUGGCUUCUUGAUUAUAUUGGUAGAUGAUAAUAGCAACAUAAUAUUGAUGUUUAUUAGUCAUUAUAUUAAAAUUUUAUAUAGAUUUUUUUGCAGUAACUUUUAAAAUGAUCUCAGGAGGUAGAAUAAAAAUUCUCACUUUUUGUAGAAAGAAACAAACACAGAGAAGGCAUGCAAUUUAUGCAAGCUUAUAGCAAGUAAUGGUAAAGAGAGAACAAAAACCCAAUUUUGUCUGACUCUUCUGCUAAGCUGAGGAACAUAAGAAAAUAGCCUUUUAAGUCUCAUCUGGAAUCAUUAUCAAGUUUCUAAUCUCAUGUCUCUCAAAUGGUGUUGUUAUUUGAUAGAGUUCUAGUUUUAAAAUUGAUUUUUUUUUUUUUAGUUUUUAUUCCACUCCCCCCUACCUUUUUCAUUAAGUUCCCCUCCCAAAGGCUACACUACUUGUGCAUCCUUUCAAAAAUGUUCUAGGCACAUACAUGCAUAUUCAGUCAUUUUUCCUUUACAGAAUAUUAUACACAUUCUUUAAAUGGUUUCCCAAAAGUUACACACAGCUAAUACUUGCAACCAGGAAAAUGUAAUACCCAAGUCUGUGUUUUUAACUACUAUGUUAAACUAUUAUAGAGACAAAUAAAAGGAAAUAGUAUAUUGCAUGUGACCUUUAUAAUAAUUAUAUCGUAGUAGCAAUAAUUGCCUUCUCCCUUUUAUGGAGGCAGAAUUAGAGGUUCAUAGUGAGGAAGUAAACUCCUCAGAUCAUACCUAGGAGACCUGAGAGACAGACACACUUCCAUGCAAAGUCAAAUGCAACUGCAUUGUAUGGCAUUCCACUCCUGACUG